rnacentral:rRNA from 1 species
ACGCAAGUCGAGCGGUAACAUUUCUAGCUUGCUAGAAGAUGACGAGCGGCGGACGGGUGAGUAACGCGUAGGAAUCUGCCUAGUAGUGGGGGACAACAUGUGGAAACGCAUGCUAAUACCGCAUACGCCCUACGGGGGAAAGGAGGGGAUCUUCGGACCUUUCGCUAUUAGAUGAGCCUGCGUGAGAUUAGCUAGUUGGUGGGGUAAAGGCCUACCAAGGCGACGAUCUCUAGCUGGUCUGAGAGGAUGAUCAGCCACACUGGGACUGAGACACGGCCCAGACUCCUACGGGAGGCAGCAGUGGGGAAUAUUGGACAAUGGGCGCAAGCCUGAUCCAGCCAUGCCGCGUGUGUGAAGAAGGCCUUAGGGUUGUAAAGCACUUUCAGGAGUGAGGAAGGGCGUAUAGUUAAUACCUGUACGUNUUGACGUUAACUCCAGAAGAAGCACCGGCU